rnacentral:rRNA from 1 species
UCAGAUUGAACGCUGGCGGCAGGCCUAACACAUGCAAGUCGAGCGGUAGCACAAGAGAGCUUGCUCUCUGGGUGACGAGCGGCGGACGGGUGAGUAAUGUCUGGGAAACUGCCUGAUGGCGGGGGAUAACUAGUGGAAACGGUAGCUAAUACCGCAUAACGUCGCAAGACCAAAGUGGGGGMCCUUCGGGCCUCACGCCAUCAGAUGUGCCCAGGUGGGAUUAGCUGGUAGGUGGGGUAACGGCUCACCUAGGCGACGAUCCCUAGCUGGUCUGAGAGGAUGACCAGCCACACUGGAACUGAGACACGGUCCAGACUCCUACGGGAGGCAGCAGUGGGGAAUAUUGCACAAUGGGCGCAAGCCUGAUGCAGCCAUGCCGCGUGUGUGAAGAAGGCCUUCGGGUUGUAAAGCACUUUCAGCGAGGAGGAAGGGUAAUGUGUUAAUAGGACAUUGCAA